rnacentral:rRNA from 1 species
AGAGUUUGAUCCUGGCUCAGAACGAACGCUGGCGGCGUGCCUAACACAUGCAAGUCGAACGGGAUUGAGGGCUUGCUCCUCAAUUUAGUGGCGCACGGGUGAGUAACGCGUAGAUAAUCUGCCUGACGAUCUGGGAUAACACUUCGAAAGGGGUGCUAAUACCGGAUAAGCCCAUGGGGUCUUUGGAUCUUGCGGGAAAA